AUUGAACGCUGGCGGCAGGCCUAACACAUGCAAGUCGAACGAGUGGCGGACGGGUGAGUAAUGUCUGGGAAACUGCCUGAUGGAGGGGGAUAACUACUGGAAACGGUAGCUAAUACCGCAUACCAUCGGAUGUGCCCAAAUGGGAUUAGCUAGUAGGUGGGGUAAAGGCCUACCAAGGCGACGAUCCGUAACUGGUCUGAGAGGAUGAUCAGUCACACUGGAACUGAGACACGGUCCAGACUCCUACGGGAGGCAGCAGUGGGGAAUAUUGGACAAUGGGCGAAAGCCUGAUCCAGCCAUGCCGCGUGUGUGAAGAAGGUCUUCGGAUUGUAAAGUACUUUCAUCGGGGAGGCGUUACCCGAAGAAUAAGCACCGGCUAACUUCGUGCCAGCAGCCGCGGUAAUAC
rnacentral:rRNA from 1 species